UAUAAGAGGUCCAGCCUGCCCAGUGACCAAAAGUUUAACGGCCGCGGUAUUUUGACCGUGCAAAGGUAGCGCAAUCACUUGUCUUUUAAAUAAAGACCUGUAUGAAUGGCUAAACGAGGGCUUAACUGUCUCCCUUUUUAAGUCAGUGAAAUUGAUCUGCCCGUGCAGAAGCGGGUGUAAAUAUACAAGACGAGAAGACCCUUUGGAGCUUAAGGUAAAAACUCAACCACGUCAAGCAAACAACAUAAAAUAGAAAUAAACCUUGUGGUUAAAUGAGAUUAUACCUUCGGUUGGGGCGACCACGGAGGAGAAAAAAGCCUCCAAGUGGAGUGGGGAAAUCCCCUAAAACUAAGAGAGACAUCUCUAAGACACAGAACAUCUGACCAAUAAAUGAUCCGGCCAGCAAAUGACCGAUCAACGAACCAAGUUACCCUAGGGAUAACAGCGCAAUCCUCUCACAGAGUCCGUAUCGACGAGAGGGUUUACGACCUCGAUGUUGGAUCAGGACAUCCUAAUGGUGCAGCCGCUAUUAAGGGUUCGUUUGUUCAACGAUUAAAGUCCUACGUGA
rnacentral:rRNA from 1 species